rnacentral:lncRNA from 10 species
CUGGGAGGGAAGAUAGUAUUGUGAAGAUCGUUUUUCCAGAGUGAGGUUUUUUCUAUUGUGUGUACUGAUUCUUGCGAUUUUCCUAAAUGUAGGAAAUUCCACUGCAUAAUUUGUGGUAGUGGGGGGGGCUGCGUUAGUGAAUUCCGCUGAGAUACUGCAGUGCAAAACGUGAGCUCUACGCGAAGGGCUACUCUUAGUUUCUAUGGGUUUGUAGCUUUGACGGCAUGUUAAGUGUCGUCCUUACUGUCUCAAGCGUGAGAAACAGAAAGUAUCGCGUUACGGUCCUCUCCGCCGCUGUCGUGAGCUUAUUUAACACAAACUAAGUGGCCGCAGGGCUCUUCCCCAACCUUUCUAUGUGGGGCUGCUUUUUGCAGACUUUGCUUCAUGGUCUCCAGUCUCUUGGGUUCUCUGUGAAAACCUUCGUGUUUUUUCGUAGCCUCCAGAGUCACCCUUCACACAGCCUCUGCUUCUAACCGCAGCCCCCGCAGUAGUUUGUAGGAUUUCUGUGCUAGCAGGGAAUGUGUUCUCACCUCCUAGAGCCAGGUAGAAACUCUACGCAGACGGGUGCUGUUCUUUGGGAUGAGAGCAGUGUCCCCGUUCCGUUGUAGACACAACACGCUUGCUUUCUGUAGGGGAACGGCUCUCCCCGCGCCCAGGUGCCCUUGCUUAUAUUAACCAAGGCCCGUAGGUCGGAAUCGCAGUCUCACCUGUCGGCAGAAUGUGCUGCGAUCUACCCCAACUACCCGAACUACCCAGCAAUAAAAUGGGACACAUUACGGAAACAUGAGAUAAAAUGGAUCAUCUCAAAAACAUUAUGCCGAGUGAUGAAAAGAGUGCAUCCUGUGUGGCGC